rnacentral:rRNA from 1 species
AUUGAACGCUGGCGGCAUGCCUUACACAUGCAAGUCGAACGGCAGCACGGGAGCAAUCCUGGUGGCGAGUGGCGAACGGGUGAGUAAUAUAUCGGAACGUGCCCAGUCGUGGGGAUAACGUAGCGAAAGCUACGCUAAUACCGCAUACGAUCUAUGGAUGAAAGCGGGGGAUCGCAAGACCUCGCGCGAUUGGAGCGGCCGAUAUCAGAUUAGGUAGUUGGUGAGGUAAAGGCUCACCAAGCCGACGAUCUGUAGCUGGUCUGAGAGGACGACCAGCCACACUGGGACUGAGACACGGACCAGACUCCUACGGGAGGCAGCAGUGAGGAAUAUUGGACAAUGGGCGCAAGCCUGAUCCAGCCAUGCCGCGUGCAGGAAGAGCAUCUAUGGUGUGUAAACUGCUUUUGUACGGGAGAACACUCCUACGUGUAGGAGC